rnacentral:rRNA from 1 species
GUGCCAGCAGCCGCGGUAAUACGUAGGUGGCAAGCGUUAUCCGGAAUUAUUGGGCGUAAAGCGCGCGCAGGUGGUUUCUUAAGUCUGAUGUGAAAGCCCACGGCUCAACCGUGGAGGGUCAUUGGAAACUGGGAGACUUGAGUGCAGAAGAGGAAAGUGGAAUUCCAUGUGUAGCGGUGAAAUGCGUAGAGAUAUGGAGGAACACCAGUGGCGAAGGCGACUUUCUGGUCUGUAACUGACACUGAGGCGCGAAAGCGUGGGGAGCAAACAGGAU